AUCCAGCUGACAAGUCCCAAAUAGGACGAAACGCGCAUCAGUCUGAAU
rfam:Schistosoma rodhaini strain Burundi genome assembly, scaffold: SROB_scaffold0000839